CAGAACGCGCGCAGGGGACCGCGCGAUCGUGGACCGGAGAGGCCAGGAUUCCCCAGUGGCUGCGCGGUCGAAAGGCGGGAGCCGGAGGUUGCAGGACACUGGGUGACUCCUCAACCUCUGUUUGAUUUGGCCAUAAGAACUCAGCUUUUCUUCUCUAGCCUGGCCCCAAGCUCCAGGCCUGGGACCAUUCCAUCCUCCUGGUCUUCCCUCAUUCAGAUGUUACCGACACAUCCCUGGCCAAGAGACAUUCAAGGAGAUAGCUGGAUGCAGGCCUCUCUCCUCUUCUACCUACUCCAGUAGACUCAAGACACGUAACUGAUUGUGAACUCUUGAAGAAAAUGACCAUGCCUGGCAGUACCAGGCUCAGAACUACUAUCAGUGAUUGUUGAAUGAAUGCGAGUGGGAGACCAGACCCCGCAUGAACAUCUGAGUCACUCCUCUGUUCUGUGAAUUCACAGCUGGUAGCAACAUCCUAAGAUGAGGAAACUGGGUUCACAGAGGUUAACUCACUUGCCUGAAGUUACAGCCAGGGUGGUUCCAGAAUUCAUGCUGUGUUCCCUGGGGCAUGCCUACUGUCCUCUCUGGAAUAUGACCUGAUGAGUAGUAAUAAACCAAGUACUUCUCUCUUGGGGAUUCGUUUUACCUCAUCUGCCUAUAGUUUUGUUGGAGAAGGAGCUGGAUAAGAUGAAGCCAUGAAUUCCAGGAAGUGCUCAAUGUGUGACAUCAACUCAGAAAAUCCCCGAGAUUCCUUAAUCUCCACAACCCUGCUUUAGCCCUUUACAAAUAUUUCACAAACUGGUAAUGGUCAAGGGUAUGAACACAACGAAAACUUAUGAUCCUGAUUACUUUCUUCUCCAAUCAUGCAAUGAUUUGCAAGGUUUGAAGUACAAAUUUUCCUGGCAAAUGAUGCAAUGGA